rnacentral:rRNA from 1 species
UACAGAGGGUGCGAGCGUUGUCCGGAAUCACUGGGCGUAAAGGGCGCGUAGGCGGCCCGACCAGUCUGCGGUGAAAGCCCCCCGCUCAACGGGGGAAGGGCCGUGGAUACUGUCGGGCUCGAGGGAGACAGGGGCAGGUGGAACUUCCGGUGGAGCGGUGAAAUGCGUUGAGAUCGGAAGGAACUCCGGUGGCGAAAGCGGCCUGCUGGAUCUCUACUGACGCUGAGGCGCGAAAGCCAGGGGAGCAAAGCGGG